rnacentral:rRNA from 1 species
CUUGCUUUCUCGAGCGAGUGGCGAACGGGUGAGUAACGCGUGAGGAACCUGCCUCAAAGAGGGGGACAACAGUUGGAAACGACUGCUAAUACCGCAUGACACAUUGGGGUCGCAUGGCCUUGAUGUCAAAGAUUUAUCGCUGAAAGAUGGCCUCGCGUCUGAUUAGCUAGUUGGUGAGGUAAUGGCCCACCAAGGCGACGAUCAGUAGCCGGACUGAGAGGUUGAACGGCCACAUUGGGACUGAGAUACGGCCCAGACUCC